GUGACAGCUCACACUGGUGGUGGGUGUGGCAGCCACAGAGAUCAGCUGAGUGGCACCUGUCCUGCUUAACCACGUAAGUCACUCCUGAAAACCCGUCACCGAGGGAAAGCUAUUGGACGAGGCUUCCCGACGCCUCCAUCUUCGUGUCUGUCUCGUUACGUCGAAUGUCUUCCUUGAAGCCUCCUCCGUCCUUUGUGGAGGAAGGCAGAACAGGAGAGGGAGAAGCAUUUUGUUGCUGGUUUGUACCAGAAAAAUAUCAGAAGAAAACAAGCGUGUGGUUUUGGGGGAGGUUUCUAUUUUUUGAUUUGGUUUAAAGAGCCAGGUUUUUUUUUCAGAUCACUUUGUGUAUUUUUUUCAUCAACAUUUGGCCAACUAUUCAAUUAUGACAUAUAUAAAGAACUAGAAACGAGCUUUCUUAAAGUCCAGAAAAUGAAGAUGUAUGAAUAAUCGUGUAGGAAAUAUACAGUCCAGAGAGGAGGGAACCCCCGGCUUCACCCUCAGAGCUCACUCUACGAGGGCUGCAGGUGUUGGCGAGGCUGUGCUGCUCCUGAGGAAGAGGGAAAUUCCAGACUGCCCUGGAUGAGAGGCUUGUCAGUCCUCCUGGGAUUGCCUGACAGAAAUCAUUGACACUGUCACCCCUAAUUUGACUUCUGAAGGCGUAUUCAGUCACACGUGCGUGACAGUGGAACUACCAGCUAGAAAACAUCCCUCUGGGGCGUGGUUCUCAAAUGUGAGAUGCAGGAGAAGCGCUGGAGGCCCAGAGACCGCUGGGCUCCCGGCUGGAGGGUCUCAGUUGGCGGGAGAGGGCCUGCCGGAGCCCUCACGCGGAUGACCAGCCCGGGCGGGCGAUGCAGCUGCUCUGGGAGCACAGUGGGGCCCCGCUGGCCUGCUGCUUUCCUGCAGCACAGACACCUCCUUCCCCGCGUGUGCCUCCAGCCUCCCGACGUGGGUGGCGGGCGGGCCCGUGGACGCUUCUCCCUGCCACCCUCCCAGCAGCACCCCUCUGCACCCAACCUAAGCCAACCCAAGGAGCAGUUUUCAGAAAAGCUGAACAGUCUGCACUGAAGAGAAUCCCACCAUGAAGACCGGCAAAGCAGAUUGAGCCAGGUUGAGAGGGAGCUUCCGGGGAGGGAACGCAUCUUUGGUGCACAGCCUCACGAGGCCAAACGCGGGCUGGUGGUAAGGUGCCAACUAGCAAGGCCACAGGCACCCCCCCACCCCCAAACCUCACAUAAAAACCCUCCUUUUUCCCUUCGAGGAGGUGGAUCUGAGUUCUAAUGCGCUCCCAUCUCCUCAUCUGGCUGCCUUUUCAUAAAACUCUUUUCUUGCCGUAAGUCUGGCAUUCCUGGUUUUAUUUUGGUCUCUUCUUGUGUGCAGGUAAAAGAGCCUGCAUCUGUGGCCGAUAACCCUUUCUUUCCCAGUGGAUUGUGUCCCACCCAGCCAUUCCUGUUAGGCUGUGGGCUUUCUGGGGUCCCCAGAGAAAACGCGUCCCCAGGAUGCUGAACGGGCCGAGGGCAUGGCUUGGGGAGCUGUGAUAAUCAGGUGAAGAAUCGGGUGGCGUGCUGCACAGAAAGGAGGAAUCUCACUUCAAGGCAUUUCUGGGACAGUUAAUCCCCACAGCCAGCGGGAGACCUCCGGGCCUCGGGCCUCAGCUCUGGGAACCACCCUCCCCACGGGCACAGCCUCAUCCGCAGGCCCCCUCAGCUCGCUGGGCCGCUUCGUGGACCCUCUGCGGCGCCGGCCUCAAAACCCACUUGCAGCUGCCCCCAGAUGCAAACGCCGCACCGCCCUGGCGCAGUGGCAAGGAGGAAGCUGGAUUUUCUUCCCGUGAUUUUGUGGGUCUUCG
ensembl:lncRNA